AACGAACGCUGGCGGCAUGCCUAACACAUGCAAGUCGAACGAGACCUUCGGGUCUAGUGGCGCACGGGUGCGUAACGCGUGGGAACCUGCCCUUAGGUUCGGAAUAACUCCCCGAAAGGGGUGCUAAUACCGGAUAAUGUCUUCGGACCAAAGAUUUAUCGCCUUUGGAUGGUCCCGCGUUGGAUUAGCUAGUUGGUAGGGUAAAAGCCUACCAAGGCGACGAUCCAUAGCUGGUCUGAGAGGAUGAUCAGCCACACUGGGACUGAGACACGGACCAGACUACUACGGGAGGAAGCAGUGGGGAAUAUUGGAAAAUGGGCGAAAGCAUGAUACAGCAAUGCCGCGUGAGUGAUGAAGGCCUUAGGGUUGUAAAGCUCUUUUAACCGGGAUGAUAAUGACAGUACCGGGAGAAUAAGCACCGGCUAACUCCGUG
rnacentral:rRNA from 1 species